GAUGAAGAACGCAGUGAAAUGCGAUAAGUAAUGUGAAUUGCAGAAUUCAGUGAAUCAUCGAAUCUUUGAACGCACAUUGCGCCCGCCAGUAUUCUGGCGGGCAUGCCUGUUCGAGCGUCAUUUCAACCAUCAAGCCCUGCUUGCGUUGGGGUCCUGCGGCUGCCCGCAGGCCCUGAAAACCAGUGGCGGGCUCGCUAGUCACACCGAGCGCAGUAAUACAUCUCGCUUUGGGCGUGCGGCGGGUUCUUGCCGUUAAACACCCCCUUUUUACCAAGGUUGACCACGGAUCAGGUAGGAAUACCCGCUGAACUUAAGCAUAUCAAUAAGCGGAGGA
rnacentral:misc_RNA from 1 species